GACUGACUACAGCGCAAUAAUGAAACGAGAAAAAGCCCUAUUAUCUGAAUAUCUAUCGUCUGAGCAGAAUACACAGAGCAGUAGGCCAGAUCUCAAGCCCACGCCUGCAGAGAGCCCUGCCCAGGACCCCUCAUCCCCCCUGCUCACAUCUAUACCUGUACUCCAGGAGCACUUCACAAGGCUGGAGAUGGAGAUGGUGCAGCUCAGAGAAACCGUACUCAGACAGGAGCAUCACACCGAACUCCAGCAAAACUCAGAGUACAUCACACAGAGACUGUCAGCCCUCACACAGCAAGUCAACAGUUUACAGACAGAGAAGGACAGCUAUCAGAAAGAGCUGGCCACACUGAGACUCCAGCUACAGGACAGAGAGCAUCUGACACUAGAGAUGAGGCAGACGCUUAGAGAGUUACAGGAGGAGAGAGAGCAGCAGCACAGUGAGAUCCAGGCCCUGAAAGAGCAGGUGAGAGAGCUGCUCCUGACCAGACAAGAACCAGAGCACAUCCACAGAGCUCAAACACUGCCCUCCACCCCAGAGACACCCGACCCAGACCACCUCAGGUCAAGUGCCCCAGCACAACACCAGCAGCACCCAUGUGACAGCAGCCCAGCACCAACCAGCACAGAACAGACAGAAAUAGCCCUGCUCAUUGAUUCAAACGGGAAAUUCAUUGACCUAAAGAAACUCUUCCCCCGACACAGAGCUGUGAAACACUGGUGUCCCAACACGGACAAAGCCCUGGAGCUUCUGACAGAAUCUCAGCUGGGCCAUCCCAGCCACAUCAUCAUCCACACGGGCACCAAUGACCUGCGGAGCCAGCAGGACAGAGUGUCCGAUUCCCUCAGAGCUGUUGUGGAGAAAGCAAGACACACUUUCCCCAACUCAAAAAUCAUCCUCUCCACUCUGCUUCACAGAAAAGACUUCCAUCCGAACACAAUCAAUAAGAUAAAUGCCAACAUCUCCAGACACUGUGCCCUCGUGCCUAAUGUCUACUUGGCACACCACCCAGACCUGGACACAGACUGUCUGUACGAUCAUGUCCACCUAUAUAAAAAUCUAGUACAUAUCCUGGCAAAAAGACUUAAAGACGUCACUCU
ensembl:lncRNA